GCAGGAUCAAUGAUGUUUAUAUCCUUUUUGUUAUCCUUGCACUUUGAUUGCCAGUGAAGAAAAUUAUGGGGAAAGUUAAGUCGGAGAUGUUG